UACGUAGGUGGCAAGCGUUGUCCGGAAUUACUGGGUGUAAAGCGCGUGUAGGCGGGAGGCCAAGUCUGUGGUGAAAUCGCCUGGCUUAACUGGGCGGGGUCCAUGGAAACUGGUCACCUGGAGGUCGGUAGAGGCAAGUGGAAUUCCCGGUGUAGCGGUGAAAUGCGUAGAGAUCGGGAAGAACAUCGGUGGCGAAGGCGCUCUACUGGACCACAACUGACACUCAGGGACGAAAGCUAGGGGAGCGAAUGGG
rnacentral:rRNA from 1 species